GUCUGAACCAGCCAAGUAGCGUGCAGGAUGACGGCCCUAUGGGUUGUAAACUGCUUUUAUAUAGGGAUAAAGUCGGGGACGUGUCCCCGUUUGUAGGUACUAUAUGAAUAAGGACCGGCUAAUUCCGUGCCAGCAGCCGCGGUAAUACGGAAGGUCCAGGCGUUAUCCGGAUUUAUUGGGUUUAAAGGGAGCGCAGGCUGAUGAUUAAGCGUGACGUGAAAUGUAGCCGCUCAACGGCUGAACUGCGUCGCGAACUGGUUAUCUUGAGUGAGUUCGAUGUUGGCGGAAUUCGUGGUGUAGCGGUGAAAUGCUUAGAUAUCACGAAGAACUCCGAUUGCGAAGGCAGCCAACAAGGCCUUUACUGACGCUAAAGCUCGAAGGUGCGGGUAUCGAACAGGAUUAGAUACCCUGGUAGUCCGCACGGUAAACGAUGGAUGCCCGCUGUUUGCGAUAUACUGUGAGCGGCCAAGAGAAAUCGUUAAGCAUCCCACCUGGGGAGUACGCCGGCAACGGUGAAACUCAAAGGAAUUGACG
rnacentral:rRNA from 1 species